GAGUGAGAGUAUUCCCAACUGAAUACAAUGGUCAAAAGUGUAAUAAGACAAGCAUCAUAACCUCCUUUUCUCAAGAUCAUUCAUCAUGAUACAAAAGUUGUGGCCUUACCGUGUAAACACCGAGAGGGUACAAGAAAAGGAAACUUUUUUAGAAACAAUGGUCCCAUGCGACGCCGUCAUGAGGGAAACUACCAUCUGCCAAAGUCAUCGCACGGCCACCAAUGUGUGGCACCGAUGCACCCUAUGUAGGCCAAUCCUCCACUGGGUAGUGACGCAGGUCACAAGCAAAAAUCGCCCGGGAGCUGAACCUUGAAUGAACAUGAGAAGAGAGGGGAAGGGAAAAGCAUAGAGUUCCCCACGCGGCAAUGGUGGCGGUGGCGAUGGAACCAAAUGUUGUCCUUUUAGAAGUACCAACUCUUACAGCUACAGUGUUGGGAGCGAGAGUCUCAGCAAAAGACCAUGUGGCUAAGUCAUCCAUAGAAGUUUCUUUUGCAGAAAAAGUCAUGCAUAGAAGUUGGACUAUUGUGAUGAAAGUAGACCGAAGCUACUAUAUAAGCCAAGUACGAUACCCGAAUCCUCAGCUGAGUUUCUCAGUAUAUGGUCUAUGUGAGCUUUGUUUGAGAAGGUGUCAACAAGUAGGAGGCCUUGGUUUAUCGUUGUGUUGCUGCUUCUAGGGCCAGUUCUUUUCGGCGAUUCUCUCAGAAUCGCCCCCCUCUCCAGCUUCUCCCAGAAUCGUCACUCCAUAUUUUUUUUACAAUCCUAUCUAGGUAAGGUCUAAUUAGCUAGGAUUGUAAAAAACAUAUGGAGUGGUGAUUCUGGGAGAAGCUGGGGAGGGGGGGCGAUUCUGGUAGAAUCGCCCAAAAGAACUGGCCCCUAGUGUUCCUACAUCUCAUCACUGUGCACACCGGCCCCACAGUCUGCAACUAUCUUCGUCGAGAAAACUGUCGCCAUAAAUAAACCAUGAACUGUAGAAAGGAUAAUGUGUGCAUGCUUGCUUUAUUGGGUUAGGUACAUAAUCGUCAUAUAGGUUGUUCAAUUUCCCAAGAAAUGAAAUGAAGUUGGAAAAGGAGUACCACUGGAGAAUCAAGGUUCGGCCGGUUCUCUCGGAAUAACUUCAAGACAAGGAUCUAGAAUUUGUAAUCAUAUUGUUGGCUCAUUGAAAAGUUUAAUUGCCCCUUCUA